rnacentral:lncRNA from 1 species
ACCGUUACUCCCAAUCUUUAUCUUAUUUUCAUUUUGAUUCUACUAUUUUUUUCCCCUUAUAUUUAGGUUCUUAAUCUUUAUUAUUUAUUUCAAUUAAAUCCCACCAUUGAAAAUGCCAUUAAUUAUAACAAAAACUGUCACGCCAAUAUUUAUCAUUUUAAUGUCGUACCAGUGUCAAAUUUUACUACACAGCAAUUUUUGCUAAAAUUAACAAUAUUUUUAACCAGAAGGGGCUAAAUAAAGAUAAAUAAUAAAAAUUAGGGACCUAGUUAUUUUUAAAAAAAAUU